UUACGGCCAUAUCACGUUGAAACACCGGUUCCCGUACGAUUACCGAAAUUGAGCAACGUCGAGCGUGGUCGGUACCUAGAUGGGUGACCGAUAGAGAAUGCCAGGUGCUC